CUUCAGUGAUGAUACGAUGACGAGUCUGACAGGGCGAAUCCUUUUCCACUGGGCUCUUUCUGCAUCACGUUCUGUGCUGUGGACGUCUGCUCAUUGGGACAAGGGCCGCCCUUCACUUGAUGUCCUUGAGGCAUUUGUCUGAGAAGG